rnacentral:rRNA from 1 species
ACCCUGGACGGGGUAUCACUCGGCUCGUCCGUCGAUGAAGAGCGCGGCGAGUCGCAAGAACUGAUGCGUAUUGCAGGACUCAGUGAACAUCGACACCUCGAACGCACAUUGCAGCCUCGAGAUCC